CGGGACACUACGCGUUUUCGGAGUGGAGGUGCUACGCGGUGUCCAGGAAGCUUCCUCCUGCAUUAGGAGGUCUAUACAUGCUGUUAUCUCUGCUGGACUCUCCUCCCAUCUCUUCAUCUAGCUGGAACUCACAUCACAGCUGCCCUAUUUACUUACCUACUGGCUGCAUUCCUUAGAACCAGUUUUUUUCCUGUUCAAAUGGAAACCAGGCAGAAUUGGGAAAAUAUUUCUUCAGCCAGCUCCUCAGC